UACCCAAACGAGGAAGCAAAUGUGCACAU
rnacentral:sRNA from 1 species